CGGUGAAUACGUUCCCGGGCCUUGUACACACCGCCCGUCACACCAUGGGAGUUGGUUUUACCCGAAGGCGCUGUGCUAACCGCAAGGAGGCAGGCGACCACGGUAGGGUCAGCGACUGGGGUGAAGUCGUAACAAGGUAGCCGUAGGGGAACCUGCGGCUGGAUCACCCCCUU
rnacentral:rRNA from 1 species